rnacentral:rRNA from 1 species
GGGAAGGACCUGCGGGGGUUGGUCACCACGAACGAUU